rnacentral:misc_RNA from 1 species
UAGCUUCAAAUUAGAAGUGAAAUCACCAGCAAGUAAACGCCUCCGGACAAUAAUCAACAUAGCACAGCAGAUUCUGAGCAGUGUUUCCUGAGGUCCUUCAGGAUCACUUAGGAGAGUGUCCCAUAUAAGGAGACAAUCUGGAAAGUUGAACUCUUGCGUCAAAAGGAGAGUUAUCCACCUAAAUGCAUAGAACUGUGGAUUCACG